rnacentral:rRNA from 1 species
UGAGUAACCUGCCCUUAACUCUGGGAUAAGCCUGGGAAACUGGGUCUAAUACCGGAUAUGACUCCUCAUCGCAUGGUGGGGGGUGGAAAGCUUUUUUGUGGUUUUGGAUGGACUCGCGGCCUAUCAGCUUGUUGGUGGGGUGAUGGCUUACCAAGGCGACGACGGGUAGCUGGUCUGAGGGGACGACCAGCCACACUGGAACUGAGAUACGGUCCAGACUCCUACGGGAGGCAG